rnacentral:rRNA from 1 species
GGUCAAGCUACAAAGGGCGCAUGGUGAAUGCCUUGGCAUCAGGAGCCGAUGAAGGACGCGAUAAGCUGCGAUAAGCUUCGGGUAGGCGCACAUAGUCCAGAGAUCCGAAGAUUUCCGAAUGAGGAACUCACAUGGGAAACCCCAUGUAUCAUAAAGUGAAAUACAUAGCUUUAUGAAGGUAUACCCAGGGAACUGAAACAUCUAAGUACCUGGAGGAGAGAAAGAAAAAUCGAUUUUCUUAGUAGCGGCGAGCGAAAAGGAAAGAGCCCAAACCAGAGAUUUAUCUCUGGGGUUGCGGACAGAACAUAACGAGAAAUCAUAGUUAAUUGAACACAACUGGAAAGUUGGACCCACAGUGGGUAAUAGUCCCGUAAGUGAAAACUAUGAUAAUCAGUUCUGCACCAGAGUACCACGAGACACGUGAAACCUUGUGGGAAGCAGGGAGGACCACCUCCAAGGCUAAAUACUACCUGAUGACCGAUAGUGAAGCAGUACCGUGAGGGAAAGGUGAAAAGAACCCCGGGAGGGGAGUGAAAUAGAACCUGAAAACCAUGUGCCUACAACCGAUCAGAGCACCUUAUGUUGUGAUGAUGUGCUUUUUUGUAGAACGAGCCAACGAGUUACGGUAUGUAGCGAGGUUAAGUACUUAAGGUACGGAGCCGAAGGGAAAACCGAGUCUUAAUAGGGCGACUAGUUGCAUGCUGUAGACCGAAACCGGGUGACCUAUCCAUGCCAGGUUGAAGCGAGGGUAAAACCUCGUGGAGGACCGAACCACGUUGCUGUUGAAAAAGCAUGGGAUGAGCUGUGGAUAGCGGAGAAAUUCCAAUCGAACUCGGAUAUAGCUGGUUCUCCUCGAAAUAGCUUUUAGGGCUAGCGUCGGAAAAUGUGAGUAGUGGAGGUAGAGCACUGAAUAGGCUAGGGGGCAUAGCGCUUACCGAACCUUAUCAAACUCCGAAUGCCACAUACUAUUCAGUCCGGGCAGUCAAGACUAUGAAAGAUAAGUUCCAUGGUCAAAAGGGAAACAGCCAGAUCGUCAGCUAAGGUCCCAAAGUGUAAGUUAAGUGGAAAAGGAUGUGGGAUUCUAAGACAACUAGGGAUGUUGGCUUAGAAGCAGCCACUCAUUAAAAGAGUGCGUAAUAGCUCACUAGUCAAGAGAUCCUGCGCCGAAAAUGUCCGGGGCUCAAACUUACCACCGAAGCUACGGGUUCACGCAUUUGCGUGAGCGGUAGAGGAGCGUCGUAAUCGGGCUGAAGUCGUACCGUAAGGAGCGGUGGACUGAUUACGAGUGAGAAUGUUGGCAUUAGUAGCGAGAUGUAGGCGAGAAUCCUACAGGCCGAAUAUCUAAGGUUUCCUGAGUAAAGUUUGUCUUCUCAGGGUUAGUCGGGACCUAAGGCGAGGCCGAAAGGCGUAGUCGAUGGACAAUUGGUUGAUAUUCCAAUACCACUAUAAUCGUUAUUAUCGAUGGUGUGACGGAGAAGGAUAGGAUGUGCUAGCUAUUGGAUGCUAGUCUAAGCGUUUAGGGAGUUGGGAUUGGCAAAUCCGUUCCAACAAUUCUGAGGCGUGAUGGGGAAGGUUCUACGGAACCGAAGUAUCUGAUUCCAUGCUUCCAAGAAAAGCAUCUAGAGAGAGAAGUAGUGCCCGUACCGCAAACCGACACAGGUAGAUGAGGAGAGAAUCCUAAGGCCGACGGAAGAAUUGCAGUUAAGGAACUAGGCAAAUUGACCCCGUAACUUCGGGAGAAGGGGUGCCUGAGAAAUCAGGCCGCAGAGAAUAGGCACAAGCAACUGUUUAACAAAAACACAGGUCUCUGCUAAAGCGAAAGCUGAUGUAUAGGGGCUGACGCCUGCCCGGUGCUGGAAGGUUAAGGGGAACAAAAAUUAUGCGAAGGUGUGAACUUAAGCCCCAGUAAACGGCGGCCGUAACUAUAACGGUCCUAAGGUAGCGAAAUUCCUUGUCAGGUAAGUUCUGACCCGCACGAAUGGCGUAAUGACUUGUGCACUGUCUCAACUGCAAAUCCGGCGAAGUUGUAGUGCGAGUGAAGAUGCUCGCUACCCGCGAUUGGACGGAAAGACCCCGUAGAGCUUUACUGUAGCUUAGCAUUGAAUUUCGGUAUUGUCUGUACAGGAUAGGUGGGAGACUGGGAAACUAGGGCGUCAGCCUUGGUGGAGUCGUUGUUGGGAUACCACCCUGAUAGUA